rnacentral:tRNA from 1 species
GUUUUAAUAGUUUAAAAAUAAAACAUGGGUCUGGUAAACCAAAAUUAAGUUUUCUUACUUUUAAAACU